AAUAGAUACCCCGGUAGUCCACGCCGUAAACGAUGAGUGCUAAGUGUUAGAGGGUUUCCGCCCUUUAGUGCUGAAGUUAACGCAUUAAGCACUCCGCCUGGGGAGUACGGCCGCAAGGCUGAAACUCAAAGGAAUUGACGGGGGCCCGCACAAGCGGUGGAGCAUGUGGUUUAAUUCGAAGCAACGCGAAGAACCUUACCAGGUCUUGACAUCCUCUGACAACCCUAGAGAUAGGGCUUCUCCUUCGGGAGCAGAGUGACAGGUGGUGCAUGGUUGUCGUCAGCUCGUGUCGUGAGAUGUUGGGUUAAGUCCCGCAACGAGCGCAACCCUUGAUCUUAGUUGCCAUCAUUAGGUUGGGCACUCUAAGGUGACUGCCGGUGACAAACCGGAGGAAGGUGGGGAUGACGUCAAAUCAUCAUGCCCCUUAUGACCUGGGCUACACACGUGCUACAAUGGACGGUACAAAGAGCUGCAAGACCGCGAGGUGAGCUAAUCUCAUAAAACCGUUCUCAGUUCGGAUUGUAGGCUGCUAAC
rnacentral:rRNA from 1 species